ensembl:ncRNA ZK287.11 ncRNA
CGGGCGGGCAAUGGCCAGUCUCUUCCUCCUUUCUCCUUCCUUUCUUCUCCUCUUUCUUCUUUUUUCUUCUUCUC